GGGGGAGGAGGCUGCGGGAGGCGGCGGGAUCCCUCCGCCGCGAUGGGUCUGGCCCUGGGUAGCGAAGCAGGAAAAAUGCUUCGGCGAAAAUACCUCCAGCCUCCCAUGAGCUCGGAACUGGCAUUAGAUUGCAGCAAAAUGUUGCCUUGCAGGGAAGGAUUUUGCAUCUUGGGGAGAGAUAGGUGAUUUUUUUACAGCUUGUGCAGUGCUCCGUUUAAAGCUCGUGGACAAUGACAGCCAAGUUACUGUAAGAAACCGUUACUGGGAAGAGAGAAACUGGAAGGGGGGUUGUUAUAGGGCCUACUUCUGCCUUCAGAAGGGGGAAAAAAACCCCAAAAUACAACAGACAAAACUCUCAAGGGUUAUAACUGGAACAGAAAAAGAUCUUUGGUGUUAGCGUUUGUGAUUCGGCCUUACAUUAUAAUGGUUACCAGCAGCCUCAUUUUCUUUUUAUGGUCAUCCUGGCUUCCUGGUUGCAUGACACUUCCAUUGGGCCACCGUUUUUAAUAAUUUAACCUUUUAUGAGAUUGUUUUGAUUUACAGUGUAGAUUAGAGCAAGAGUGAAAAAGUAUGAUAUCACCCAUUGGCUAUUAAACUCCUUUGUACUGUACGCAAAGGCCUCAGUUGUUUAAAAUGUUGAGAGAAAGGUUCUUUUUUUUUUUCCCAGCCAGCUAGUCAUUUUCUAAUUUUAUUUUUACUUAAGUGAAAAAUACCAUUCAGAUAUUGUAACUUCUCCGUGCUGAGCUACGCAAAAUCUAUGCUGAGUUUUGGAUUCAAUGGCUGGCUUGUUUGCUUGCUGGAGUCCUAAGUCAUAUAAACUAUGUUGAAAAUAGAAUUAAAACCACAACUCAACACGU